rnacentral:rRNA from 1 species
UUACAGAUGCUGGAAUGCCCUGUAACCAAAAGCUCCGGCGCCCUAGGAUGGAUCUGCGGCCGAUUAGGUUGUUGUUGGGGUAACGGCCCAACAAGCCCGUAAUCGGUACGGGUUGUGGGAGCAAGAGCCCGGAGUUGGAUUCUGAGACACGAAUCCAGGCCCUACGGGGCGCAGCAGGCGCGAAACCUUUACAAUGCGGGCAACCGUGAUAAGGGAACCUCGAGUGCCUGUAAACGCAGGCUGUUCAGGUGUUUAAAACGCACCUGGAGAAAGGGCCGGGCAAGACCGGUGCCAGCCGCCGCGGUAAUACCGGCGGCUCGAGUGGUGGCCGCUUUUAUUGGGCUUAAAGCGUUCGUAGCUGGGUUGUUAAGUCUCUUGGGAAAUCUGGCGGCUUAACCGUCAGGCGUCUAAGGGAUACUGGCAAUCUUGGAACCGGGAGAGGUGAGGGGUACUUCGGGGGUAGGGGUGAAAUCCUGUAAUCCUCGAGGGACCACCUGUGGCGAAGGCGCCUCACCAGAACGGCUUCGACAGUGAGGGACGAAAGCUGGGGGAGCAAACCGGAUUAGAUACCCGGGUAGUCCCAGCCGUAAACGAUGCGCGUUAGGUGUAUCGGUGACCACGAGUUACCG